rnacentral:rRNA from 1 species
CCCUGGCUCAGGACGAACGCUGGCGGCGUGCCUAAUACAUGCAAGUCGAGCGGAAUGAUGAAGAAGCUUGCUUCUUCUGAUUUUAGCGGCGGACGGGUGAGUAACACGUGGGCAACCUACCUUGUAGAUUGGGAUAACUCCGGGAAACCGGGGCUAAUACCGAAUAAUCCAUUUUGCUUCAUGGCAAGAUGUUGAAAGGCGGCUUCGGCUGUCACUACGAGAUGGGCCCGCGGCGUAUUAGCUAGUUGGUAGGGUAAUGGCCUACCAAGGCGACGAUACGUAGCCGACCUGAGAGGGUGAUCGGCCACACUGGGACUGAGACACGGCCCAGACUCCUACGGGAGGCAGCAGUAGGGAAUCUUCCACAAUGGACGAAAGUCUGAUGGAGCAACGCCGCGUGAGUGAAGAAGGUUUUCGGAUCGUAAAACUCUGUUGUAAGGGAAGAACACGUACGAGAGUAACUGCUCGUACCUUGACGGUACCUUAUUAGAAAGCC